rnacentral:rRNA from 1 species
ACUGCUCAGUAACACGUGGACAACCUACCCUGAGGAGGGGGAUAACCCCGGGAAACUGGGAAUAAUACCCCAUAGACUAUGGAUGCUGGAAUGCUCUGUAGUUAAAAGGCCCGCCGCCUCAGGAUGGGUCUGCGGCCGAUUAGGUUGUUGUUGGGGUAACGGCCCAACAAGCCUGUAAUCGGUACGGGUUGUGGGAGCAAGAGCCCGGAGAUGGAUUCUGAGACACGAAUCCAGGCCCUACGGGGCGCAGCAGGCGCGAAAACUUUACAAUGCGAGCAAUCGUGAUAAGGGAACUCCGAGUGCCCGUAAAAUCGGGCUGUCCGCCAGUGUAAAUAACUGGUGAAGAAAGGGCCGGGCAAGACCGGUGCCAGCCGCCGCGGUAAUACCGGCGGCUCGAGUGGUGGCCACUAUUACUGGGCUUAAAGCGUUCGUAGCUGGUCUGUUAAGUCUCUGGGGAAAUCUUCCGGCUUAACCGGAAGGCGUCUCAGGGAUACUGACAGACUAGGGACCGGAAGAGGUGAGAGGUACUCCAGGGGUAGGAGUGAAAUCCUGUAAUCCUUGGGGGACCACCUGUGGCGAAGGCGUCUCACCAGGACGGCUCCGAUAGUGAGGAACGAAAGCUGGGGGAGCAAACCGGAUUAGAUACCCGGGUAGUCCCAGCUGUAAACGAUGCGCGUUAGGUGUAUCGGUGACCACGAGUCACCGAGGUGCCGAAGAGAAAUCGUGAAACGCGCCGCCUGGGAAGUACGGUCGCAAGGCUGAAACUUAAAGGAAUUGGCGGGGGAGCAC